rnacentral:rRNA from 1 species
UGAGUGAUGAAGGUUUUCCGGAUCGUAAAGCUCCUGUUGUUAGGGAAGAACAAGUCGCCGUUCAAAUAGGGCGGCACCUUGACGGUACCUAACCAGAAAGCCACGGCUAACUACGUGCCAGCAGCCGCGGUAAUACGUAGGUGGCAAGCGUUGUCCGGAAUUAUUGGGCGUAAAGGGCUCGCAGGCGGUUUCUUAAGUCUGAUGUGAAAGCCCCCGGCUCAACCGGGGAGGGUCAUUGGAAACUGGGGAACUUGAGUGCAGAAGAGGAGAGUGGAAUUCCACGUGUAGCGGUGAAAUGCGUAGAGAUGUGGAGGAACACCAGUGGCGAAGGCGACUCUCUGGUCUGUAACUGACGCUGAGGAGCGAAAGCGUGGGGAGCGAACAGGAUUAGAUACCCGGGGUAGUC